UGAGCAGCACUCUGUUCAUGGCAGAAGUAUGGGGCAAAGACACACCCUCUCAUGCACUUCCUCCUCAAAAAUUUGCAUGCGCCGCAAGGAGAGCCAAAGCCUGUCAUCUUUGAGUUCAGAAGCCUUCGAUGUCUUAGCCUAUAUUCCGUUCAAUGAGGACAAAGAAGCUCACUGCGACUCAACCUGAUUACAGUUCUCUUCGGAAUUCUUCCUUCUGGAAAAGGCCAAAAACUCAAAAGAACCUUUGUUCUCCAUGCUGAAUGGGAUGGUGUGCUUAUGCUGAUUGAUUGCUUUCAAUCAAUUUAGUGUCUGGCAAGGCAUAAGGACAAUCACAAUGCUAUCCUAUCAUCUCAUGGCCUGCUUCAGUAAACUCCAACUGAUCCUAGUUCCUGUUGAAGGAUUGAGACAUCAAGAGUUGGUGAAAUAUGAUUAUCAUCCUAAAGAGUAGAUAUGUUCUUCCUAUUUCAUAACAAACAGGUGAAAUGGUCAAAAUCGAAACUCAAUACCACUAUGCAUCAAGGUUAAGUCUCAAGUCAUGCCAUAGUUUCAAUCUUUGACUUAUUCCAGUAUCAUACUGACUCUCUAAUGCAUGAUGUCGGUGAUAAAUUGGAAGUUGAAGGAGGAAGGAGAUGAAGUAAAAGAAUGAUACAUUGUCUGUGUUGAGAGGUAUCGAGUUUUGGUAGUUUACUAGAAUAAUAUAUUUCGAUCAUGUCGCCAAGCAUGAUAUAAGAUUUAAAGCCAUGACAUGUUCAAUAUCUCCUUCCUAUGUUUCAUCUUCAAUUCCAAUCUAUUUCAG